UACAGAGGUCCCAAGCGUUGUUCGGAUUCAUUGGGCGUAAAGGGUGCGUAGGUGGCGCCGUAAGUCGGGUGUGAAAUUUCGGAGCUUAACUCCGAAACUGCAUUCGAUACUGCGGUGCUUGAGGACUGGAGAGGAGACUGGAAUUUACGGUGUAGCGGUGAAAUGCGUAGAUAUCGUAAGGAAGACCAGUGGCGAAGGCGGGUCUCUGGACAGUUCCUGACGCUGAGGCACGAAGGUCAGGGGAGCAAACGGG
rnacentral:rRNA from 1 species